GGGCCCGUAGGCAAAUGGUAUACCGUACCCUUCGCAUGGGUGAGUUCCGAGUUCGAUUCUCGGCGGGUCCACCC
rnacentral:tRNA from 2 species